GACGAACGCUGGCGGCGUGCCUAAUACAUGCAAGUCGAACGAAGCUGUUUUAACUGGUGCUUGCACCGACUUAAACAACUGAGUGGCGAACGGGUGAGUAACACGUGGGUAACCUGCCCCAAAGCGGGGGAUAACAUUUGGAAACAGAUGCUAAUACCGCAUAACCACAGAAACCACAUGGUUUCUGUGUCAAAGAUGGUUUCGGCUAUCACUUUGGGAUGGACCCGCGGCGUAUUAGCUAGUUGGUAAGGUAAUGGCUUACCAAGGCAAUGAUACGUAGCCGAACUGAGAGGUUGAUCGGCCACAUUGGGACUGAGACACGGCCCAAACUCCUACGGGAGGCAGCAGUAGGGAAUCUUCCACAAUGGACGAAAGUCUGAUGGAGCAACGCCGCGUGAGUGAAGAAGGUUUUCGGAUCGUAAAACUCUGUUGUCAGAGAAGAACGUGUGCGAGAGUAACUGCUCGUGCAGUGACGGUAUCUGGCCAGAAAGCCACGGCUAACUACGUGCCAGCCGCCGCCGUAA
rnacentral:rRNA from 1 species